CCGCCCGCACUUUCCCGGCGGAAAGUGGCUCGCCCGCGAGGGCGUGUGCGCAGGGGCGGGGCGGGGCGGGCCGGGAGCUGACCAGAGAGGGCGGCGUGGGGUCUCCUCCCCGCGGCGCGCCCGUCCUCCUCCUCCUCCUCCUCCUCCUCCUCGGGGCCUCGCUUCCUUCUCCUCCUCCGCACGCUCCGCCGCCCCUGUCCAGCCCCUCUGCCCCAAUGUGGGGGCAAGUGCUCACGGAGAGGCGCCGGGGCUCGGAACCCGGCCGGGCUCGGGCAAGCAGUUGCGAAACGCGCCGCGCCGGGGCAGGGGGCGGGCGGAGGGGCGCCGGGGGCGGAGGCCGCGCAGCCGGCGGCGGACGGCGCGAGCCCGGCGGCAGCUGUCAGCGGGCGCGGGGCGCGGGCGCGCCAGGGCUCGGCCGAGCGUGCGCGCCGGGGCCGGCUUCCCUCCCGCGGGCGCCGCGGCGGCCUCGCGCUCCCCACGAGCCCCGCGCCGCUGCGAGCCCGCGCGGCCAGGAAAAGCGCGCCCGGCUCGGGCGAAGCCUCGUCGGCGCCCCCGGCCUCCGCCUCCUCCGCGGCGCCGCCCCCGCGCCCGCGCCGAGCCCCCUCCUCGCUGGUCCCACACCUCCCUCUAGCGACUCCAGCCGCGUCCCUUCGCGGCUCUCCCGCCUCCCUCCCCCGCGCCCGGGUCUCACUGGCGCACACCCGUCUAGGGAGAGACCAGGUGGGUGGUAGAGGAUGUGCGGGGGAGCAGCCCGGAGAGGAUUUAGGUGAAUGAGGCGAGACGUCCAGAUCACCCAGUUCCACCCGCAAGGAGGCUCCUGCCCCAAUCGGGGGCUGACUUGGCGGGAAGAUGCGGGGAGCUCGUGCACUGCCCGGGGCUGCCGCCGGGGGUCGCGGAGGCCCCCGGCCCUGCUGCGGGCGCCGGGCACCAGGGACCACUCCACGCCGGCUCCCGCGCCGCCGUGGCCGGGUGGCAGGGCGAGGGGCGCAGCCCCUUCCCCUCGGGGCCGCUCGGCGUCGGCACAGCGGAGGCCGGAUGUGGGCACCUGCCUGCUUCCAGAGAGGGGUCCCAGCCGCGCCCGCCCCGCCCGGCGCGGGUCUCUCCCUCCCUCGCAGCCCCUUUAGGAGGGGCGACGCCCGCCGUGCGCCACGUUUCACUUCUGAUAUGACUGCCACCCGCUCUCCACCGCCCCCGCCGUGCACCGGGCUGGCUUGCCCAGACUCUGGCAAUCCCCAAAGGCCUCUGCCGCGGCCCAGAGAGCUAAGAGCAUCAAAGCAAAAACGCCGCCGCUCAGUCACACCUUCCCUUCCGAGCAACUCCCCUGCAACCUCGAUGAGAAAACAAGAAGAGACCUGUGCAUGCAAAGGGAGGGGCAAAGUAAGGAAUGAAACCCAGGUCCAGUCAUACAAAGAAAAUGAACAUGGUUCAAAUUCUAAAUCUAUAGAGAAAAGAUUUUGAUUGAAUGUGGUACCCACUUCGGAUUCAAUUAGCGAUGAUUCAGAAGAGCAAUGGAUAAAGAAGCGUCUUCAGCCGAUGGGACUCGGUCCUUUGGAUGUCCACAUGAAACAAAGUGAAUCACACCAUACACAGCAUUUGAAAAGAGGAAUGAAGCUUCAAUAUGACUUUCCAUUUCGUUCACUUUAUAUAUGAAGAAAAACGAGGGCCCUCUCAACAUUUGUUCUUGUCAAGAAAAGGAAAAUUGAGGCAUCAUUCAAAAUACACAUGAUUCCAACACUUGAAGCACUUGCUGAAGAACAACAACCAUCUAAACAACCAACCAACUAGCUAAAAACUCUUUGUAAUGACAAGAGAUUUUCACAUAUGAGGUAUAUGGAGCAACUAUUCGAAUUCAAAACUGAUUCGGCUUGAAUUAUGGCCUAUCAAACAUACAUUGUACAUCUGCCUAAUCAUCAAAGUAAAGAAUGCACUCUCUUAAGAGAAGGGAGCUGAUUCUGCCUCCCUCCCCUCUAACACCCUGCAGGGAAGUUAGGAUGGUAAUGGUUGCAGAGCGAAGAAGAGCGAAAAGAGAAUGCAGAAUAGAGGUCGGCUCUAAUUGUGUGCCCUGCUUAAGUCUGUGCUCUUUCCAUUUACAUCAUUCAAGUCCCACAAGCAGGAAACAGAAACAUGCAGCUGUGAUCCAUGGGCCAGAAAACCAUGACUCCUACUGCUCUAGGAUAGGAGGCCUGGCCCUGGGAGGCUUCGAUGCACAGCUGCACUGUCAAAGUCAGCUCAACUACUUCUCCAUAUUUGGGAUGCUAAAUUUUGCUGCAAAACCCUAAACACCUCCAUAACCAUGUUUUCUGGCAACAGCAAAUUGAGAAGCCUAGAAACGACUUCCUCCUCACUUCUGCCUUCCACGUUUUGCAUAAGUACAUCAUGUUGUCAGCACCUAAUUUGCACUCAGAACCCUAACUGCAAAGGACUCUGCGGAAUUGUAGCUUUCAGGUUGUCAGCCUGUGAAUGAUGCUGUAGCGAGAGGAGGGGAUACCUCCUGAGCAACCCAGUCCUUAGUGUUUGCCCUUUCCUUAAAUCAUGGCGCCUUUUGUACCUCAAGCUUGAAUCUUCACUUGGAAAUGCGAUCCUUCAUUUGGCUUUUGAGAAUGGAAAAUAACAAACUCUAAGUGUCAAUAAUAUUUAAUAUUAAUUUGAGAGAAAGUGUUUUCACUCAUCGUUUAAAAAUCAAGUCAAUUAAAAAGAAGCAAAUGGAAAU
ensembl:lncRNA